UGUGGUAUAAAAUGGCAGUGGGAAAUGGGACUGGACACAGUUUGUGGUGUACACCAGUAGAAGCAUGGCUCGGCAGUUGGUAUUCUUCAUCAUGGCGGCCCUGGUGGCUGCUGGGCUUGCUGCACCGGGUGAGCGGGUGAGACGGAACUAUGAAGGCGCGCUGGGCGGAGGAUACGGUGGCGGCGGCGGCGGUGGCGGCGGCGGUGCACUGGGCGGCUACGGGGCCGGGGGCCCCGGCUUCGGAGUGCCCCACUACCCCGGGGGAGCUUCGCAAUCCUUCUCUAAGUCUACCGCGAGCGCUAGCUCGUCUUCUGUAGGAGGAGCCGUGGGCAAACGCUAAAUAUAAUUAAUGAAACUUAUUAGGUAAGCUGUGUUACCGAGAGUGCGCUAUUCGAUGUAUUCAUGUGAUAUUUUAAUUAUCUAAUGUAUAUUCCUUUGUAAAUUAUAUUAUUGUUAGCUGUAAGUAAUUAAUAGUAAAUUGUCCACAAUCGCAA